rnacentral:rRNA from 1 species
CCGGUGGCGGAUGGGCAUGCGUCGCAUUAGUUAGUUGGCGGUGUAACGGACCACCAAGACGACGAUGCGUAGGGGUUCUGAGAGGAAGGUCCCCCACACUGGUACUGAGACACGGACCAGACUCCUACGGGAGGCAGCAGUGAGGAAUAUUGGUCAAUGGGCGGGAGCCUGAACCAGCCAAGUCGCGUGAGGGAUGACGGCCCUAUGGGUUGUAAACCUCUUUUGCCGGGGAGCAAAGUGCCGCACGUGUGCGGUUUGGAGAGUACCCGGAGAAAAAGCAUCGGCUAACUCCGUGCCAGCAGCCGCGGUAAUACGGAGGAUGCGAGCGUUAUCCGGAUUUAUUGGGUUUAAAGGGUGCGUAGGCGGACGCUUAAGUCAGCGGUAAAAUUGCGGGGCUCAACCUCGUCGAGCCGUUGAAACUGGGUGCCUUGAGUGGGCGAGAAGUACGCGGAAUGCGUGGUGUAGCGGUGAAAUGCAUAGAUAUCACGCAGAACUCCGAUUGCGAAGGCAGCGUACCGGCGCCCAACUGACGCUGAAGCACGAAGGCGUGGGUAUCGAACAGGAUUAGAUACCCUGGUAGUCCACGCAGUAAACGAUGAAUGCUAGUUGUCCGGGGCGAUUGAGU